ACAUUGGUGGUUCAGUGGUAGAAUUCUCGCCUUUCAUGCAGGAGGCCUGGGUUUGAUUUCAGGCCAAUGCA
rnacentral:tRNA from 1 species